UUCCGGUUGAUCCUGCCGGAGGGUACUACUAUUCGGAUUCGACUAAGCCAUGCGAGCCGAGAGUCUUCGGGACUCGGCAUACUGCUCAGUAAUAUAUAGUUAACCUACCCUAAAGUCAGGGAUAAUCUCGAGAAAUUGAGGCUAAUACCUGAUAUGUAUUCUGGUCUGGAAUGAUAGAAUAUUUAAAGAUCCGUCGCUUUAGGAUGGGACUAUACCUUAUCAGUCUGUUGUGGGUGUAAUGUACCCCCAAAACGAUAACGAGUACGAGCCAUGAGAGUGGAAGCUCGGAGAUGGAUUCUGAGACAUGAAUCCAGGUCCUACGGGACGCAGCAGGCGCGAAACCUUCACUAUGUAUUCACGUGCGAUGAGGGAAUCUGGAGUGCUUAUGCUUAGCAUAAGCUUUUUUCGAGUUUAAACAGCUUGGAGAAUAAGGGGUGGGCAAUACAAGUGCCAGCCGCCGCGGUAAUACUUGAGCCCCAAGCGGUACCCAGUUUUAGUUGGUCUAAAGCGUCCGUAGCCGGUCUUGUUAGUCCUUAGUGAAAUCUACUGGAAAACUGGUAGGCUUGCUGGGGAUACUGCAAGACUUGGGACUGGGAGAGGGUAGAUGUACUGCUAGGGAAGGGGUAAAAUCCUAUAAUCCUAGUGGGACAACCUGUGGCGAAGGCGUCUACCUAGAACAGGUCCGACGGUGAGGGACGAAACCUAGGGGAGCGAUCGGGAUUAGAUAUGAGAAGGGAAGUUUUUAUAUAAAGUAAACCAUAAUAUCUUCCUUUCUCACUAAAUACCCCGGUAGUCCUAGGCGUAAACGAUGCCCACUUGGUGUUACAAACCUUACGAGGGUUUGUAGUGCCGAAGCGUAGGUGUUAAGUGGGCCACCUGGGGAGUACGGCCGCAAGGUUGAAACUUAAGAGAAUUGGCGGGGGAGCACACAAGGAGUGGAGGCUACGGUUCAAUUGGAUCCAACACCGGGAAUCUUACGGGGAUCGACAGCAGGAUGAGGGUCAGUCUAAAGGGCUUACCAGACAAGCUGAGAAGUGUUGCAUGGCCAUCGUCAGCUCGUAUCGUGAGACGUGCGGUCAAGUCCGUUAACGAGCGAGAUCCGCAUUCUAUGUUGCUAACUCGCAAGAGUGCACUCAUAGAAGACUGCUGGUGAUAAAUCAGAGGAAGGUGCGGGCGACGGUAGGUCAGUAUGGCCUGAAUUUCCCCGGCUACACGCGGCCUACAAUGUACGAGACAGUGGGAUGCAACCCUGAAAAGGGAAGCCAAUCUCUUAACCUCGUACUCAGUACGGAUCGAGGGUUGUAACUCACCCUCGUGAAGCUGGAAUUCCUAGUAGGCAAACGUCAUCAUCGU
rnacentral:rRNA from 1 species